ensembl:snoRNA
GACCUCCUAGGAUCGCGUCUGGAGAAUGGCUAGUAUUCUGCCAGCUUCGGAGUUGGGAGGGAAAGCAAGCCUGGCAGAGGUACCCAUUCCAUUCCCAGUUUGCUCAGUAGCUGGUGAUUGGAAGAUACUCUGCAACAGAG